GGUGAUGAUGAAGACUCAACGCCACCAAAGACACGCAUUGUCAGCACACCAAAAUUUACACCAAGAACAGAAUAUUUUGAAGAACAAAGUUAAAUACUCCAAGCUGUGGCACCACUCAACAAAGUUUUCUAAGUGCCUUAAGAACCAGCACCCACAGUGUCUAACAGGGAAACGCAACAUGAAGGUGGG